AUUUUUCCAAACUCUGUUGAAUUUCAUUUUGCUGACUUCAUCUCAUCCUGUGUGUUCCAGUGCUGGCAGACUCUGUGGGUGAAUCCAGUUUUUUGAGAGGGAAAAAAAUCUGUGAAGAUAUGAGCAGAGGCAGGUAAGCAGACUGAAUUCCCAAGAUCCAGCCGAUGCUGUUUCUAGGAGGCUCCUCCUUUCCCUUUCUGACCUUACCUAGCCAGAGUUGAAGCUGCACCUUCUUAGAGCAAAUACCAGCAAAGCUCCACCUAACAGGCUUCCCAAAAGAGUACCCUGGACAGAAUACCCCAGCCCAUAGCCCAAGUUCCAUUUGACUUAAGGCACCCUGGACUUCCCUCAAAGUAGUAUGUGCUUAGAAGACACUUUCUCCCCAUAGACAACAGAAGUCCUCAGUGCCCUACAAACAUGUGAAGAAUGUCAGGAGUCCAUCAUGUGUCAUGGGCUGAGCCUCCAGAGAACUAUGUUCUACCCUGGUUAUGUUGUGAACUGGUCAUCAAGCAAGGUUUCCAAACAGGGUCACAUUAACAAUGAUCAUUGCUGUCCGAUGGGCUCCUGCAUCCUCCACCCUCUCUGUGAGAUCUCUCCUUUAGGUUUCAUCAGGAAUCCUCAGGAAUCUUUUGCAUGUGCCCACAUGAUCCCGCAUGGACUCUGCCCCAUGAGGGUGCUGAUGUCUGCCAACGCUGCUGCCACCAUGUCCCCAAAGAUAUAGAUAGUUACAGUCUCAGAAGAAUUCAAGAUCCCCCAAAUGCUGCAGGAUUAGCACAGAAGCAGACAGAAUAUUGCUCCUUCCCACUUUAGCUACCUUUUCUCCCCCGGCAUCAGAUUGUGCUGUUCACAUCUCCCCUAGCUUCUGAAAACUGGCUAUUGCAGCUUCAGUGUACAGUUUCUUUUUACCUGGAGCCAAGGGAGGAGCCCGCUGAUGUCUGAAGUACCCAAGCCGGCUCCACUCCAGGGUAUAGACUCCCACCACCAAAAUCCCCUUCCAAAGUGACCCUUGCCCCGCCUUUCUGUGACACACACGCAGACAGGUCUGAAUUGCUGAAAUGAACGCUAUUUAGGCUGAACUGGGGGCCCUGAUAUGCUAUUUAAAGAAAAAAGAAAUGAGAAAUCAUAGGAAUCUUGAAGCUAUUCAUCUUGAAGACCAUUCACGGAAGCAGUGAAAUUAAACAUAGCAUCCUUCAAUAUAUUCCCUCCAAACAUAAACUUGGGCUAUUGUUCCUUCAUAAUGCCAGUUUACCUCUGGGAGUUUGAGAGGCGGGUACUCAUGUCCUCUCAGCACAAUCACCAAAGCACUGCACCAGGUAUCAGGAGGAAACAAGAACAAAUCUAUUGUCAGGAAGCCUGAGGGUUGACCCAAACACAGCAGAGCUAUGGAAAAUUAUUUUGGAAACUAUUUCUUACAUAGCUGCCUGCAGUUGUUCAACCUGAUUCUUAGACUGGACUGGAAGAGGAAAACCACUCAUCAUCUGAGAAGCCUUCGUGUUGCUAUUUUAUUAAGGACAGAAACAUAAAGAGAAAAAAAUCCAUGGUUCUGCCUCACUUUCUGCUCCCUCCUUGACUUUUCUCUCCAAGUCUCAAGUACUCUUUAUGCUCUGUGGGCAGUCGUCAAUAGGAAAAAAGACUGAUUUGAUUUAAACCCACACCUUACUUUUAAGGAGCUCUUUCCUGCUCACCUGCUCAUUUGAUUAACUGGGGGCACAAAGAGGGUAGGAAAUCCAAGAGGCAAAAGUAAGGGACCCCAAAUGAUGCAUGCAGAAUCUUUAGUGGUGAACUGUUGGGCUAGAAAAGUUGUCACCGUGGAAUCUAAAAUGGGUCCUGUUGUUUGUAAGAUCCUUUAACCAUCCUACUUCUCUUAAUAACCAUGUGGGCUAUCCCAAAGUAGAUUCUGGUACCCUAUUAGAAGACACAGAGGGUAUUAUGGAUGUGUGUUUAAGCCACAGUUUGAGCAAGAUUGCAUUUCUGUAGAAUCAUGAUCUAUGAAAACUUUCUGGCUGAACUGUUCAUGUUACUAGUAAAUCAAUUUCAUCAAUUUCAUUUUAAGAGAGUGUAGGAGAAGCUGUGGAGGAAUCCUGCCAAUGGCAAGAGUGAAGAUGAAGCUCUAUAUGAAAUGAGGAAAGGGGCAGACCUGCCACCGCAGAGCUAGCCCAUUCUUAUGGAUGAAA
rnacentral:lncRNA from 1 species